rnacentral:miRNA from 1 species
UAUUGCACUCGCCCCGGCCUG